rnacentral:rRNA from 1 species
AGUGAACGCUGGCGGUAGGCCUAACACAUGCAAGUCGAACGGCAGCACAGUAAGAGCUUGCUCUUACGGGUGGCGAGUGGCGGACGGGUGAGGAAUACAUCGGAAUCUACUUUUUCGUGGGGGAUAACGUAGGGAAACUCACGCUAAUACCGCAUACGACCUACGGGUGAAAUCAGGGGAUCUUCGGACCUUGCGCGAUUGAAUGAGCCGAUGUCGGAUUAGCUAGUUGGCGGGGUAAAGGCCCACCAAGGCGACGAUCCGUAGCUGGUCUGAGAGGAUGAUCAGCAACACUGGAACUGGGAAACGGUCCAGACUCCUACGGGAGGCAGCAGUGGGGAAUAUUGGACAAUGGGGGCAAGCCUGAUCCAGACAUACCGCGUGGGUGAAGAAGGCCUUCGGGUUGUAAAGCCCUUUUGUUGGGAAAGAAAAGCAGCAGGUUAAUACCCCGCUGUUCUGACGGUACCCAAAGAAUAAGCACCGGCUAACUUCGUG